GGAAUCUCCGCUGUCUAAAGAAGAAGACGACGACCGAGAAGAAGAAGAAGAAGAAGAAGAAGAAGACGAAGGAGAAGAAGAAGAAGGAGGUGUCAGCGCACGAUGCACCGCAAGUACUACAGGUGUUGCAGAAGUUUUACGGUAAAAACUGUCGACGACGAUCCGUCACGGCUGCUGUCGAUGAAUAAAAGCGAUGAAAUUUCCCUCAAAAAAAUAUUCAAGUCACGCGAUCCUUCGGGGCGAAUACAUGCGUAUACCUGCGGGGGUGCCGCGAAAAUAUGAUAAUACGAUGCGGCGUCAAGUGAAAAAGAACGUUGCCUGCCGAGGGAAAUUAUUUUUCAACGGUUUCGAACGAUGCUCUCGCGAAUUUCGAAUGAAUGAAAAAUGGAGAGAAGGACCACCGGUGGCUGAUUCGAACCGACCGAAUCGUAACACAAGGGAUGUAAAGAAUGAGGAUAAUUGAAUGAGGAAGAACGAAGUGAGAAGAAAAAAACACAAUGUGACGAACGUUGUGCAAUCGUUGUUCCAAAAAUACACCCGCUACACCAUAUGAAUAUACCGUGGAGGAAAUUCGGCUAGGUAUACAUAGGGGGACUGGAGGACCAAGCGCCGCCUGCUUAUGACGAAUUUUUGGAACGCCGAUGGAAAUAUGUUCGUCGUGCGCAACGAGAGGUAGUGGCGAAGGUAUUCAGGUGCGAGUACAUCCACCCCAAAAGGAGAAGAAAAAAAGCAGAGAGAAUAAAAAUGGGGAAAAAGCACACACCGGGAGCGGUGUAGAGUUGCCCGAAUCCGCAAGACGCCUACCGCAAACUAUAAUAUUUGUGUUAUGGAAAUAGACAACCAUAUGCUUCGUAAAUGGAUCAGUUAUGUGUAGCCAUCGGGUUCUUUAAACAGUGAGCUGCCCUGUUCCCGAUCACCUAUGUAUACAUAUUGCAUAUAUCUAUACACAGAUAUAUGUAACGAUAUCUUCCUCGUUACAUAGGUAGAAUGAGAAUAAGUCGCGCGUCGCGAACUGCUAGACGUCGUGGCGUCCCUAAAAGAGACGUCGUUUCCGUUCUUUCAAAAUCCACCGAUCACUUCCACACCCUCAACGAUAUCCGACGACGAAGAUGCGUACGUGGAUCUAUGCAUACAUGCGUGUAUUCACUAUGGGUAUGCAUGUGUUGGAUUUUUACAUAAUUGCAAGGCACCAAAGUACACGGUGUAGUACAUGUACGUAUACACAAGUAUAGAUAUUACGUAGAGAAGGGAGACGAUAUAUUCGGCACGUGCAGCUUUUUAUUAACGUUAUAUAUUCUAACGACGGAUGUAAAUAUGCACGAUAAUAUUAAACCCUGUAAUUCCGUGAUUCGACGACAGUGACGUCAUCGCGCGAUCAUUAUCUGAGAAACACGUGUAGCAUAUAUAAUAAUACAUGUGUACGUAGAAAUGGAUGGUAUAAACGGUGUUCGUCAUAGACACCGCCAUCUUGGCGCGGAAAACGCGAAGAAAAAAUCAAACGAAAGAGAGGAAGAAAAAAAGGGAAAAGAAAAACCAACGGUAACAUAAAUAGGACCAUCUCAUCGGUCGCCAAUGUUAUUACUGGUUAUUUUUGUCAACCAAGCAUUGUAUAAUAUACAAUGAGAAUAAGUGGUUUCUUUAAUGGCGAAUAUAAUUAUAUGAACCUGCGAACUGCAAAUGUUGGUUGUCAAAACGUUUGGCAAAACCACUGAAACUUUACUUAUACAUAUGUAUACAUACAUACAUAGGUAUAUAUCUAUACAGGUCAUACGUAUCUACAUUCGAUAAGUUUAAUGAUUAAUCAAUUGGAUAUUUAUUAAUUUGGUUUUUUUCUUUAACUUUUCAUCAGAAAUUCCGGAUCGUUCGAGUCGAUCUACGAUCUAUAUGAAACAUCGCCCAGAUGCCGAUACAUAUUAUUAUUAUUAUUAUGUGGUGCAGCGUGGAUAUACAUGGAUGUAUAGUCACUUAACGCAUCGUUAUAACCACUCGCCGUCACAAUAAACAAGGGGAUCCUAUAAUACGACUUAGGAAAGUCAAUAAACUUAAUUAUAGCCUGACAUUGGACAUUAUACGACAUUUCGGCUAUUAUAUCGACCGCCGCAAUCUUUGAGCGAUUGUAAGCGGCGACCUUUAUGUACCUAUACUCCACGAUCUCUGCAAUAUACAUACGUGUAACGUAUAUGCAUUUGUACGGUCAUCCGUUUGCGAAGUGCACUCGUGCAGAUUUACAGGAAGGAAAAAAAGAGAUCCACGACGCACGAAUACACAUGCGUUGCGACGAAUGACGAGUGACCGUCACGUGAGCGUACCAAAAUUAACGCAGCGGCCAUUUUGGUAUUUCUGGCUCGAUUGUCUGGCGAGAAAUAGACCGGUGAAUAUAACAGCGGAUUAAAAGAUGGCGAGGGACGUGUUGAAUUUACGACUGAAGAAAUUCCACAGCUAUGGGUGCCGAGAAUCACCCCGCGCAGCGGGAACGAUAUCAAAGAUUUUAUCACCCGAUACACCAUCGAGUCGCAAAUGGGAUGAACUACAAACACCCACAUACGGGGAUAUGACACCUAGAAUUCUAAUCCAUUAUCUGCAAGCCCAGUGAAUUCCGAAGAUUUAACGUUUCAUUUUACGACAUAAACUGUAAUAAGGAUCAAUAUUUGACGGACGGUUGGAGAAUGGCAAACUCGUUCAACGUGCGAAAUUUUUUCGACGUAUCCGCACGCAUUGAUCGAAUUUUACAAUUACAUUUCGAAAAUGAUGAUCCGAUCCGAUGUAUAUAAUAUGGACGCCGUGCAAAGAACAAAGUGUUCGUUUGCAAAACUUACAGGGUAUUGGAAAAAAGGCGAACGAGCGAAAAACCAAAAAAGAAAAGAUGGAAAGGAAAAGAAGAAGAAAAAUCGCAAAUCAAGAGGGGUAAAAAAGUCGCGCAAAAAUAUCGCAAGGCCGCCGACGCCCGUGGAAGAAGAAGAAGGCGACGACGCCGACGUGGUGGUAGUAAAGCGUCGACGGAUAAUUCUUGGCUUGAUACCGAUUUCCGAAACUUGGUGGUGGUUAUCGGUACGCAUCGUUCAUUGGUAGAGUAGGCAGAGAGAACUUUGAAACAUCGAAGCUUUCGAAGAGCUUCCGUCGUAGGUCGGCUGCGUCGCUACCACCUGGCUCUAAAUCUUGAAAAGCUCGCGGAAAAUUUCACCGAUAUCUCCUGGCUUUCCCGGUAACACGACGGACGGUAAUACAAGCCAUUCGAGCGGUCGUUAUCAUCCAGUUUCCGAUCGCAUCGACGACGAACUUUCCCAGUUGGCGAUCCGAAUUCAAAUCGAAAUUCGAACGCAGGAUCCGAAUGAGGAGUGAGGAAAUAAGGAUCGAAUUUAUCUUUUGAUUAAGGAUUACCACACAACAACAACAACAGAGAAAAGCAAAGUUUUGGACCGUCAAUUUUUCACCGGGGAGUUUUGGAAACAGGAGAAAAUAACGAGUCGAUUCUUCGAAGCUUCAAAGAUACCGGACGACGAGAUCGGGCAUCGAAAGGUCACUGCACUGGUUACUACAAGAACUGUACUCGGUGUCGUACUCGCGUCUCACGAAUCACCACCAACGGCACAACUGGAUCAACUUAUAUCACUCGGCACAACGGAGAGAAGAGAGAAGAGGAGAGCGAGCUUGAUUCAACGAUGGAAUUAUCGAGGUGAAUGAUUCAGGAAGGAGGCGUUACGCGUUGCGUACAAUUUUAAGAUCCGAAUCAUGUGGAUUCGUCGAAUGCUGCGAUAUCUUUUUUCCGCUGCACGAUCACGACGCGUCGCGGGUACUUUCCCAUUAAUCACGGUCGAAGUCCGGGCGCAUAUUCAAUCGUCAAAAGGAACAACGAGGGACGAGAGUAUGAGAAACCGAGCAGAUCCCCGGAACGAGCUGAAAACUUAUGGACGAUGCCCAAGUUUUAUUAUUUGCGCACACGGCGGUUUCACGCGUUAUACGGUAAAAUAAUAUGCGGAAAAUAUUACGAACUCGGGGAAAACUCAUGGAUCCAACUACCGCCGACACUCAGGCGGUACAAUUUUUUAAAGGCCCUGGCCCUCGAACAGGUGGCGUCGGGUCAAAUGCGACGCAUUCCGGGCAUAAUGGACACUCGGUGGGAUACCUGUUAGGGUGAACGACUUUCCGCGCUGCAAAGAUCAUCACGACGAGUACGCGUCGGUUUACUGCCAGAUUUUGGUUUGAACGAGAGGAGAAGGAACACACCUCUGCGGGCAUGUCUGAAACAAGGAAGAGAAGCGGAGUCUUCGGUGGCGCGAAGAUAACGUUGUACGUUGUACGUUGGCAAAACGUACCCUGCCAACGAUCAUCGAGCUCCGUAGCCUCCCUCGCACUUGGUCGGGAUAGACCUAGUGACGUCACGCUUCUAUUCGCGUUCGUGGACAAGAAACACUAUCUUUAGAUCCCACGCCGAGCAAGUUAGGCAGCUUGUCGGGCGAUCCGAGACCACUCUCGAUACCUACAUAUGUUCUUAUUAGAAUAUCACCGCCGAUAUUGGCAACGGAUCGUUGUACGUUCGAACCUGGAUAACGGCUUCGGAUUAUCAUCCGGUAAAAAUUUGUCAGACUGACCAACGUCGUCGUACAUUCGAGCCGGAGUUUAUCCAGACAUCUGGAAGCAGUCGAACGACUACCGUCAAAAGGAAAGAAGGUCAUUCGUCGUUGGAUGACGCGAAAGUGAAUUCCCCGAUGGAACAAAUAUUCGAAAUAAUUUAACCCGCCCCAUGCCGGCAAAUAUGGUUCUUACAGUCGUCUACCAUGGCAGCACUUGCGAGUAAAAACACUUCGUUCAACAUUUCGUUGAACCUUCCGUUAAUUAUUUCCAAAAUUCUGCUACGAACAGAGAAACGUCGAAUAAUUCGAGGGUGAGGUGUACGUUGAUAGGUUCGAGGAAAGAAUUCAGACGCGAUGUUCGUUCGACUGAUAAUUUAUUCAUUGACUGUCGAUACACUGUACGAUGAUGAAUUUUUAUGAACAUCGGAUCGUUCGACUAUUGUUUCGGGAGAAAUUGGAAAUUCUAUUUUAACUCCAAGCUUCGAUUGCAGAUAAGAGUAUAUCUCGACUAGUAUUAGGAGUAGCUUGACCCAGUCGACACGUUCGUGUCGCUGAGGUCAUAACUCAUGAAUCAUGUGAAAGCAGUGGCUCGAUCGAUUCGGAAAAUACUCAGUUCUUCCAGGUGUAUUAUCAUGUAUUUUGGGAUCAGGAAUUCAACGAGUAAUACCUAAGUCUUUGCUACAGAAGGCGAAAAAAUAUUUUAUUUUGAAAACGGAGACCAUAGCCUUCGUAUUUUUUCGAUUUCAGGACCAGAGAUCAUAAUUAAUCCUUGUUUUUUUUUUGGUUUUUCAUAUAUUUUGAGUCCAAAAAUCCGAAUCCCAUCACCAAAAUAAUUCAUUUAUCGAACUGAUCGAGUGAUCGCCGAUCUUUAACUGUCAAAAGCAGGGAAGUUGAAAUAUCUCGAUAGCUCCAAGUCUUGGCUCACUUCAUUCGCCGGAUAUGGCGAAUCAAACCAUUCAAAAAUAUUUUUUAGUAUGUUCGCAGAACCGCAGAAUCACCAAGACCCUAGUUUUCCGUUUUUUCAAUCUUUGAAUCAAUUACGAACUCUAGUUCCAACAUUUUUAGCUUUUCCACGUAUUCUAAGCUCAGAAAUAUAAAUAUUCUACAUGAAUUAAUUGAAUUAUCGAACUGAUGAAGUUAUCGCUGUACUUUACCGCUUGAAAAAACAAAGAAAUUGUAAUCAAGACAUAGCUCUCGGUUGUUGUAAAAUUUUGUGAUUAGAUUCCUGUAUGCGAAUCAAAAAACAAAUCACUGCCUUGUCAUCAUUGUUUAAUUUUUCCCUAAUUUUUCCCAGUUUUCCCUGAUUUUUUUUGAAUUUCCUAAUUUAAUUUUUAAUUGAUGCAUCUUUUCAAGGCCCGGAAGGCGCCUUAUCAUAUACGAAUAGAUUUCGACCGUCCUAGAUUCGUUCCCAAUUUUUUUAUGAUUUUUCAUGAUUUUUAAAAAUUUUAUAUAAUUUUUUAUAAUUUUUUAUAAUUGUUUCCGAUUUUUUCCAAAUUUUUUAAAAUUUCGUCGCCUCGGAGGCAGUCGUCGUUACUUUUGUGGUUUCCCACAAACGCUCGGAGGCGAUCGGGAUUCUUCGGUUUUCCUCGGAAAUCGGAGGCGGUGUCGUUGAUUUUGUGGUUUUCCUCGAAUAUUUGGGGUCGGUCAAUACUUGUGCGGGUUCUCUCGCCCGGGAAAAACCGCAAAAGUAUUGACCAUUAUACCUCUCUUUCACGCAUCACAUUGCCUGACGUCAAGGGGCAAGAAACUUGGGAUUUUAGUUCACGAAAAUUCCGCCACAUGGCGCUAGCUGUAUCGGCGAGUGCGGUCACGUGACCUGACCACGUGACGUCAUCACGUGACCAAAUAGGGGCGGACAAUUAAUUUACCGCGCCCGCACCCAUCCAGGGGCGGCACAAAUGAAAAAUAUUUUUAAAAACUGGGAAAAAAUUGUUAAAAUUCGGAAAAAAUUAGAAAACAAUUAGAAAACAAUUAGGAAUACACCUGGGAUGGUUUGACUCUGAUUAAUUAACCGGAGAUGAAGGAAAAAAUCUGAAUAAUUCUGGAAAAAUGGGGAAAAGUAGGGAAAAACGAGAAAAUGAAAAAGACUCACAAAAAUUGAACUGUGUAGUAUUCUUCUGUAUUUUUUCAGCAUCAAAACAUCAUUCUGACACUCUGAAAUUGAAUUACAACCGAAAGUAAUCGAGAUAAUCAAAUUUAUUAGCUAUUCCAAGUACUGAACUAGCGGCAACUUGAUUAAUUUGACAAAUCACUUAAUUCAAUCGACAAAUUCAGCUAUACCUAACGUCAAACGUGCUCGCCUAAUUUUUUACAAUAUGUUAUAGGUAAACUGAUCUUUGCAUUUCAACUUUAAUUGUCAAGGUAUCCUCCUCGGAGAUACUCAUCAUGAGAAUUGAUCUAAGUUUUCUGAGAGUCACCAAGUAUAAACCCCUGACGAUUGAAUGAGACGAUUCUUCUGCUCGAUGGCUGAAUAUAUCAGGUUUUCGUUAUCAAAAAUUAUCAAAGGGAAGCUUGACUGGAAUUUAAUAAUUAUGACUAUGUAUUAUCUUCGAUUCGAUAAAUCAGCAUCUGUUCAGGAUAUCUAGACCGUGUAUGCCAUAGAUUGUACUCCCUACACUGUACUAACUUUUUGGUCUAAGACUAAGGCUAUGCGACGAGUCGCUGUGGAUCAGGAAUGGUAUUUUCACAAUUCGCACAGUUAUUCUAGAUGUAAGCGCACUUUGUUUGAAAGAAACUCUAAACCUUUUUAACAUUGGUAUCUUGUGCAUCGAGGAAUGAAUGAAUGUUGAUGCUUGAUGACACCAUAUUUGGAUCCACAUGUUCCGUACACAUUGGACAAACUUCUUCACUUUCGAUGAUUCUGCAAAAAAACGAAAAUAACUGUCAACACCUCUGACAAAAAAUAGAAACAGUUUGCAGAUGGAUAAUGUGACGAACUUUGGAGAAAAAUUCACAAAUUCUUUGCCACAGAACUAAUGAAUCGAUGCA